CCGGUCUCAAGUUUUUUGAAAACCUUGAUUUUGUGAAAAAUAAUACAGGGCCUAGAACAAUCUUUAUGGAGAAUUCCAGUUUGCUACAAUAGCUUUUAUUCCCAUGUUGAAUUUCUAUCAAUCUCAUAYCAAUACAACUUCAAUACGAUAGGGGCGCAGUGAAGCUAGGACUGCUGCAUAGUCACAUGCCAAGAGGCGACAAGGAAAGAGGAAACUUAUGAUACAAUGUAUCGAUGAUAGACUUUUUUUGGUUACAUUAUAGCCUACAAGUUUGCUGUAGGUUGUAACUGUUUCAUACUUUUUUUGCGGUGUAAUAAGCGUGUGCUUGCAUUUUGGAUGGCAACAUUGUCGUAUAAUGUUACCACUGCAACACAGCCUUGUUACUAGAUAGGCUAGUCGUUCUAAACUCGAAAGUCGAAGAAGGAAACAUCAUAAAUGUUAGGAGCCUAUUUUCUUCAGCAAUAUUAUGUUGUUUUGCCAAUGUUUUCCGCGUGCAACAUUACUCUGCGGGUUGAUCUUGCAACGUGCUAAASGAGCAGUUAAAAUCAUGUCAACUCAGGACGCCUCACAACACGAUUUUAACCAGAAGCGAUUGAUAGCCAACAAUAGCGGAUCAUUACAGAUUCAUACAACUAAAGCAGACCGUGAAGACUCGGAUACCGGUGUCAAGACAAGCAACGACAUGCAAGAAACAAACAGAAAAACWGAAAAACAGUUCACAGAGGACGAACUUGCCAUACAUAAAUUACACAGAGAAGCAUGUGAGGCUAAGAGGCAGAUGUACACGGACCCAGGCAGCGGGUACAAGGUGUUGACAGAGUUUGCCACCGCCAGAGAGGAAAGUGCUGUGGCAGGCCUGUAGACAUUGUCCAUUUGGCCAAGUCAACGUGAAAGACCCAGCCAACAAGAAACAUUUUAACUCUAUGUAUUAUGUAUAAUACACCAAGCACACUCAGGUUCAGUGUACAAGGCAUGAUAUAGUCUGUGUACUGUGCUGUUAUUUUGGACAGUUUCAAUGGUGUGUUUUUUUUUUCCAGCACCGCGCUAAAUGAUGAAAUUUAGAGUGGUGUGUGUGCAAUCCUCUCCUGCUAUGAAUUCUCCGUGUGAUUUUAGUCUCUACAGUAGGACACUGGAAAGGGGGUCGGUCUCUGGAGUCUAAAUUUGGUUUUUGAAUUUUACCCUGUCAAUGAUUUUGUUCAUUUUUCCUCAAUGAUACAAUGAAAAUAUAUAUUUUUUUAACCUUGAUUGAUGAUGACUUGACAGGUAUUAUUGUUAUUUGAUUGAAUGUCUGAGAUGGUGAUGUUACUAUAUAGAUUUUCAGAGGGAGUGUAUGAGAUGGACAUCCAUCUCUCUACUGUCCCUUUAUCUUCCAAAAUGUACACAUAUGCACAUUUUUGAAACAUUUUAAACACAAAAACACUGAGUUGUCUGCCUCCAACUGAAAGGGAUGUGCAGUUUAAAUAGUCACCAGGUCAAGGUUCAUCUCUCAGCCUGGCUCGCUGGUUGAACGUCAGCUGAUGGAGUCAACCUGUUCACAUACAAACGGUGGACAUCAACAGGCUCUCUCCCUCCUGUAUUUCCCAAGGAGCCUUCUGGCAACGCAGGGCUUCUCCAUGUCUCCCUGCAGCUGCUCCCCCGACACACAGCCCUAAUGAACGCUGGGUUACUCACUAGCCCUGCAACACUGGGUGGCAGACCACCCCGCACCAACACACACACAGGCAUGGGGACACACGGGCACACAUGCAUGCAUGCACACACAAAUACACAGUAGUGGACACAAAAAUACACAGACAUAGACAGGCACACAAAAUGGCAAUGGGUAGCCUCUAGGUAGGUAGCCUCUAAAAUCAGACUAGGUAUUGUACAAGAUACUGCACAGAGUAGACCUAAAGCCAGAGUAAGCUGAGGAUAACCUUCCAUUAGAGUACUGUGUGUGUUAAACCAGAGCAGUUUUAAUCUGUGUGACUUCUCACUAAGCACAGAAGUCAAUUCAAUGUCUAUUCUACGUUGGUUCAACGUCAUUUCCUUAAAAUGACUUGGAAACAAUGUUGAUUCAGCCAGUGUGUGCCCAGUGGGUUGUGGGUAGGGGCACUGGCUCCUAACCUGCCACACACUCUCCUGUAUCAAUUUGAUCGGGCAAACGGUGUCAGGAUGAGUGAGUGUGUCUGCCGRGGAAUCCUUUCGCAGCCGUCUACUGGCCCGGACAGGUGGGUCCCAAAGGCAAAGUGCUUAGUGAUCAGGAGCAAACCCCAGCGAGCGGCUACAAGGAAAUUCAUGAUCCCAACAGUGCUGAGCAGGACAGGUUCACCGCGACGCGUCGUCAGCCUGGAUGAGAGGCAAAUUUAUUUGGGCGACGGUUGUGAAGCGAGGCAGCAGAGCGUAGCGGCAACAACACUUCGUUCGCCAUUCCGGGUAGAAGGUGUCACAGUCAUCAAGUACCUGGGCCCGCCUGCCUGCCUGCCUGCCUGCCYCAGGUCUGGGAGUUUUGCCUAGGGACUUGUCUGUCACAUUACGCUAGAUGCAUUGCCAUUCCAGGGCCUGCGCGCUCCUGCAGCCUGACCAUGAAAUAGGCCAACUUUSAUGUCUGCCUCAUCUCUCUCCGUCGCCUCACUCCACUGAUGACACAGUUGGAAAGGUAUUUCUUCUUCUGUGCUACUGAGACACAGCAGCACAGCUCUCAGUCAGUCCCUCCGCAGCGCUAGCUAGACAUAUAUCUGGGAAACUCAUGGUAGCCAGAAGCAGGAAACUGGAAAUGUCCCCGCUCUCUCCAGGCUUGUCAUGUUGUCAGGCCCUUUUCAUGACAUACAGGGCUAUAUUCUAUUCUGGAUUUUCUAUUUCUUUACCUUUGAUAUUGAAUAGUGCCUCUGUUUAGAUUUGUUUUUUUCAAUGUGAUGAGGAAAUGUGAAAAAUGUGUCUUAUUCAAUUUUGAGAAAUAUUGUGCGUGAUUUGGAAUAGGCUAUUGGCAUAGUAUCAAAUGCAUUGAACUGCCACAGCCUAUUAUAAUGCAUGUUAGAAAAUGUAUUUCAUCAUAUGAUUUGAAAAAAGGGUGGCUGUUUAUAACUGUUGUAGCCUGUGCAUGUGACAAAUAACCUUUGUUUUUGAUAUAUUUGUGCAUUCUGGAAUUCUUUAGAAUAUCUCAGGGAAUGUUUUCAAUAUUUUAACCUGUAUUUAAUGUUAUUGUCCUGUGCAAUAAUUAUUAGUAUUGCAUGUAUGUGUAAACAUACAUGGUUAGGGUAUGUGUAAACAUAGA